AGCUUUGCGCAGUAGCAGUAUCGUAGCCAAUGAGGUUAAUCCGAGGCGUGAUUAUUGCUAAUUGAAACUUCUCCUACAGAAA